GUGCGGUCACAAAAUCCGAAGAAUUUUGAAUGUUGGCUGUGCCAACGGCACCAAAGGAACGAAUAAAUCACCUCAGUGAUUAUGCGUCAUUACUUU
rnacentral:ncRNA from 1 species